GCAAGUCGAACGAUCUACUGUAAUGUAGAUAGUGGCAAAAGGGUGAGUAAUACGUGGGUAAUCUGCCCUAAAGUUGAGAAUAACCAGCCAAAAGGCUGGCUAAUACUGGAUGAGACCACACUAUCUUUGGAUAGAGAGGUUAAAGCUGGGGACCCCAACAGGGCCUGGCGCUUUAGGAUGAGCUCGCGCCCUAUCAGCUUGUUGGUGAGGUAAAGGCUCACCAAGGCAUUUGACGGGUAGCUGGUCUGAGAGGAUGGUC
rnacentral:rRNA from 1 species